UACGUAGGGACCAAGCGUUGUUCGGAUUUACUGGGCGUAAAGAGCUCGUAGGCGGCUUGUUGCGUCGGCUGUGAAAACCCGCGGCUUAACUGUGGGCUUGCAGCCGAUACGGGCGGGCUGGAGUUCGGUAGGGGAGACUGGAAUUCCUGGUGUAGCGGUGAAAUGCGCAGAUAUCAGGAGGAACACCGGUGGCGAAGGCGGGUCUCUGGGCCGAUACUGACGCUGAGGAGCGAAAGCGUGGGGAGCGAACAGG
rnacentral:rRNA from 1 species